rnacentral:rRNA from 1 species
CCUACGGGUGGCAGCAGUGGGGAAUAUUGGGCAAUGGGCGCAAGCCUGACCCAGCAACGCCGCGUGAAGGAAGAAGGCCCUCGGGUUGUAAACCUUUUUUAUUCGGGACGAAACAAAUGACAGUACUGAAUGAUUACGUCACGGCUAACUACGUGCCAGCAGCCGCGGCAAUACGUAGGUGGCAAGCGUUAUCCGGAUUUACUGGGUGUAAAGGGUGUGUAGGCGGGAGAGCAAGUCAGAUGUGAAAUUCCAGGGCUCAACCCUGGAACUGCGUUUGAAACUGGUAUUCUUGAGUAAUGGUGAGGCAGGCGGAAUUCGGGGUGUAGCGGUGAAAUGCGUAGAUAUACGGAAGAACACCAGUGGCGAAGGCAGCCUGCUGAACAUUGACUGACGCUGAGGCGCGAAAGCGUGGGGAGCAAACAGGAUUAGAUACCCGAGUAGUC